UACGUAGGGGGCUAGCGUUGUCCGGAUUUAUUGGGCGUAAAGAGCGUGUAGGCGGCCAGGUAGGUCUGGUGUGAAAACUCGAGGCUUAACGUCGAGAUGUCAUCGGAAACCAUUUGGCUAGAGUCCGGAAGAGGAGAGUGGAAUUCCUGGUGUAGCGGUGAAAUGCGCAGAUAUCAGGAAGAACACCAAUGGCGAAAGCAGCUCUCUGGGACGGUACUGACGCUGAGACGCGAAAGCGUGGGGAGCGAACAGG
rnacentral:rRNA from 1 species